rnacentral:tRNA from 1 species
GGAGAGAUGACAGAGUGGCCUAUUGUGCAGCAUUGGAAAUGCUGUGUGCUAGCAAUGGCACCGAGGGUUCGAAUCCCUCUCUCUCCGCCA